ensembl:lncRNA
CUCAGACUUUUUGCUGAGAAAUACAACACUGCAGGAGUUCCACAUGGACAGUGAGAUCAAGUGCACUCUCAGCAAGUUUGCAGAUGACACCAAGGUGAAUGGUGCAGUUGACAUGCUAGAAGGAAAGGAUGUUAUCCAGAGGGACCUGGACAGGCUUGAGAGGUGGGCCCAUACCAAUCUCAUUAAAUUCAGCAGGGCCAAGUGCAAGAUCCUGCACCUGAAUGGGGAGCAAUCCCAAGCACAAAUACAGAUUGUGUGGAGAAUGGUUUGAGAGUAGCCCUGAGGAAAAGGGCUUGGGAGUGUUGGCUGAUGAAAGACUCAACAUGAGCUGGCAAUGUGCUCUUGUGGGGUUGCAUCAAGAGAAGUGUGGCCAGUAGGUCAAAGGAGGUGAUUCUGCCCCUCUGCUCUCAUGAGACCUUAACUGGAGCACUGCAUCCUAUUAUGAGGCCCCCAGCAUGAGAAGGACAUGGAGUUCUUGCAGUAGGUCCAGAAGAGGGCCAAGAAGAUGAUCAGAAGGAUAGAGCACCUCCCCUAUGAGGACAGGGAUUUACAAGUAGCAACAGUGCAGAACUGCUGUGCCAAGGUGUGGGGCCAAGGAUCUAGCAGAGAUUCACCUCUGCCUCUUCUCACCAAGUUCGCUGCAAGUUCAGGCCUAACCACGUGGGGAAGCACCUGUGAUCCUCUUGGGCGAAUUUGUCUGCGAUCAACAUACCACAACACCAAUCAGUCCUGUGGCACAAAUGGAAGUAAAUUAUUACCUUGCUCACCGUACAGAAAGUAAGGAACUGAACUUCAUGACUGGUUACGAUUUCUGCAAGACUGAACACACGCUUUGCUGUACGGCCAGAUGAAAACAGUUGCACAGCCGAGCCUCCCUCCGCUCCAACAGUUGUUGUUUCAAAUACAAUCAUUUUCUCAAAACAUCUCCCAGACCAGAGCUGGAAACCUGAACAACUUAGAGUGCAAGGAGGGUCUCUCUGUGGUAUUAUGUACAUAACUGCCUUUUCACUUGGCUGGUAACUUGAUGCUUUAGGCUUCUAAGUCCAACCUCAGUGGCUGAAAGUAUAGUAAUCUCCAUUGCACUUGACACAGCAUGGCAGAAGGGCCUCCAGUUCUGCUGCAGUCUUCAGAAAGGCUCUUGUUGUUGUGAGGGCUUCUGAAGCUCCCUUGGAGAACCCCAUGGUCACUUUUGGUCACGUCACGUACAUAAAAAAAA